GGGUUAUUUCCAGGUGAUUGCUGGAUUCGAAGUUCUAGAUCUAAGCAUCAAUGGUGUCCUCCCUCUCCAUGUCCGCGAGGGUUAUUUCCAGUGGGGGUUAUUUCUAGGUGAUUGUCGCAUUCAAAGUUCUAUGUCUAAGGAUCGAUGGUGUCCUUCCUCUUCAUGGUGGUGGGGUUAUUUCCAGGUGAUUGACGGGUUCAAAGUUUGAUCUAAGCAUCGAUGGUAUGAUCCCUCUUCAUGGCCCUGAGGGUUAUUUCGAGCUGCUGCUACGAGCUUGCUCUAGCCGGGAGCUUGCUCUAGCCGGGAGAGGACAGGAGGAGGAAGCGCGGGUGGAGGAUCUUGUCCAGUCUGGAGCAAGAAAAAGAAGAAGAUUGCUAGGAAUGGAGUUCUUCCGUGUGCCGCUAUUUUUGCUCUUUGCUCAGUGCAUUCAUGUUGAGUCUAACAAGACGAGCACAAGUUGGAGUGUUGCCGUUGCUUUGGUCACGGUGUCACUAAAGUUUUGUUGGCUUGUAAUAUAGUCUAGUUACACAUACAUUGAUAUUUAGUUGGCAGAAAAACUAGUUGCACACAUAUAUGCUCAGUUUGGCUUGUAAUUUAGUCUAGUUACACAUAUAUUAAUGUUAAAUUGGCAGGACACUACUUGCACACACAUAUGCGCAAUUUGACGCGGCAAUGUAGUCUAGUUGCACACACAUUGAUAUUUAUUUGGCAGGACUAGUUACACAUAUAUGCUCAGUUGGCUCGGCAAUAUUGUCUAGUUGCACACAUAUUGAUGUUUAGUUGAGAGGACUAUUGGAACAUCCAUAUGCUCAGUUGGCGCAAUAAUGUAGUCUACUUGCACACACAUUAAUAUUUAGUUGGCAGGACUAUUUUUGGCACACACAUAUGCUCAGUUGGUUUGUAAUUUUGUCUAGUUGCACACGCAUUGAUGUUUAGUUGACAGGACUAUUUGGCACACACAUAUGCUCAGUUGACUUGUAAUUUUAUCUAAUUGCACACACAUUGAUGUUUAGUUGGCAGGACUAUUGGCACAGUUGGCUUGUAAUUUUGUCUAGUUGCACGCACAUUUGAUGUUUAGUUGGCAGAAGGACUAUUGACAUACACAUAUGCUUAGUUGGCGCGGC